GCCCCUGUGGUGGAAUUGGUAGACACGACAGACUCAAAAUCUGUUGUCCGCAAGGACGUGUCGGUUCGAGUCCGACUGGGGGCACCA
rnacentral:tRNA from 1 species